rnacentral:rRNA from 1 species
AACGAACGCUGGCGGCGUGCCUAACACAUGCAAGUCGUGCGGGAAAAAUGGGGGAAACCCCGUCAGUACCGCGGCGCACGGGUGAGUAACACGUAGGUAACCUACCUUCGAGACUGGGAUAACCUGUCGAAAGACGGGCUAAUACCUGAUAAGACCACGAGGGCGAUAGCACUUGGGGUAAAAGAUGGCCUCUGCUUGCAAGCUAUCACUUGAGGAUGGGCCUGCGCGCCAUUAGCUAGUUGGUGGGGUAAUGGCUCACCAAGGCAAAGAUGGCUAGCUGGUCUGAGAGGAUGGCCAGCCACACUGGGACUGAGACACGGUCCAGACUCCUACGGGAGGCAGCAGUGGGGAAUAUUGUGCAAUGGGCGAAAGCCUGACGCAGCGACGCCGCGUGGGUGAUGAAGGCCUUCGGGUCGUAAAGCCCUGUCGGGAGGGACGAAUCACCAGUGGGCUAAAAUCCCAUUGGCACGACGGUACCUCCUAAGGAAGCACCGGCUAACUCCGUGCCAGCCGCCGCCGUAAAAC